GCUCAGCUGCGAUAGCUCAGCUGGUAGAGCAUGAGACUCUUAAUCUCAGGAUUGUGAGUUCGAGCCACACGCUGAGCA